rnacentral:lncRNA from 1 species
GGUGCCAUUUGGACAUAGAGUCCAUGUGGUUGAGAAGUUUGAAUUUUUUCUCAUGCACAUCCAUUCCCCAUGCCAAUUCUAAAUUGAUGCCACACAUAUUGGCCAUUGGAUGUGUUAGAAAGUGGUGGUUUUUUAUGUGUAGUUUAAAUUUUUUCAUAAAAUAGAUUAUGCACAAUGAAAAAUCAUGCUUCGGAUCUUGACACGAACACAUUACUAUGAUU